UACAGAGGUGGCAAGCGUUGUUCGGAAUUACUGGGCGUAAAGGGCGCGUAGGCGGCCGCCUAAGUCAGACGUGAAAUCCCCAGGCUUAACUUGGGAACUGCGUCUGAUACUGGGUGGCUUGAGUAUGGGAGAGGGAUGUAGAAUUCCAGGUGUAGCGGUGAAAUGCGUAGAUAUCUGGAGGAAUACCGGUGGCGAAGGCGGCAUCCUGGACCAUAACUGACGCUGAGGCGCGAAAGCUAGGGGAGCAAACGGG
rnacentral:rRNA from 1 species